GGUAGGGUAUUGGCCUACCGUGGCAAUGACGGGUAACGGGGAAUUAGGGUUCGAUUCCGGAGAGGGAGCCUGAGAUACGGCUACCACAUCUAAGGAAGGCAGCAGGCGCGCAAAUUACCCAAUCCUAAUACAGGGAGGUAGUGACAAGAAAUAACAAUACAGGACUUUUUGGUUUUGUAAUUGGAAUGAGUUAAGUAUAAACCCCUUUACAAGUAUCAAUUGGAGGGCAAGUCUGGUGCCAGCAGCCGCGGUAAUUCCAGCUCCAAUAGCGUAUAUUAAAGUUGUUGCAGUUAAAAAGCUCGUAGUUGGAUUUCUGUUAAUAAUUUAUAUAAAAUAUUUUGAUGAAUAUUUAUAUAAUAUUAACAUAAUUCAUAUUACUAUAUAUUUUAGUAUAUGAAAUUUUACUUUGAGAAA
rnacentral:rRNA from 1 species